GACAGAGGGUGCAAACGUUGUUCGGAAUUACUGGGCGUAAAGCGCGUGUAGGCUGCUCGGAAAGUCGGAUGUGAAAGCCCUGGGCUUAACCCAGGAAGUGCAUUCGAAACUCCCGAGCUUGAGUCUCGGAGAGGAGGGCGGAAUUCUCGGUGUAGAGGUGAAAUUCGUAGAUAUCUGGAGGAACACCGGUGGCGAAGGCGGCGUUCUGGACUGCAUCUGACACUGAAAGACGAAAGCCAGGGGAGCAAACGGG
rnacentral:rRNA from 1 species